rnacentral:lncRNA from 1 species
AGAUGUAGGGGUCUCUGUCUGGCUUCUCCAUGCUGUGAAGGGGGAAUUAGGAAAGCGAUAGCUGGGGUGAUUGUAGAUGGAGAGGAAGAGAUGAAGGGGUACUGAGGGAGAAAGUGGGAAGGAAGAGGAGGGAUGCAGCCAAGGCCCUCUGGCUCCUCAGCCUGCAGCUCAAACUCUGGCAGUAGGGUUGUGGUGUGGGGCUAUGGCUGACUGUGUUGGCAACUAUCAGGGUUGUGGUGGGACCAAGUUGGCAGAGCUAUAAUGGCACCCCUGUACGAGCUGUGACUGGCAUAGACCUCCUGGGAGAUCUGCUUGUUGACAAUUGGUGCAGAAUUGGAGAAGACAAAUUGAUGCUGGGAGCAUUUUCCAUGUUUUGAGAUUUGGGUUUGUGUGCUUGGUUGUUGAAAUGGAAUUGACACUUGAUACAUUUUGGUCAUUUUAACUGAAUUCUUAUCCAGAGCGACUUAGUUAUUGCAUGGACGGUGUUUUUAAAUGCUUCCUGACAUUUUCUCCCCUCUCCCAUUCUCUCCUUCCUCUCUCCUUUUUGUUCUUUCAGUUGGGCCUGGCAGUAACGGUGGCAGUCCGUUUGGUGGUCAGUAUGGCCAGGGGGGGCCAGGGCAGGGGGUGAACCCCCAGCCGCUUCAGAAAAAGGCAGCACCCCUUACCACCGCCGUCACCAGCGUGUCAAACCUGCUCCAGCAGCAGCCCGGGCAGCAGGUGCCCUCGGUGGGCAUGGUCCCUGUGCCCGGCAGUGUAUCCAUCACUGGCCCCACGGCCGACCCGGAGAAGCGCAAACUGAUCCAACAGCAGUGGUGCUCCUGCUCCACGCCCACAAGUGCCAGCGGCGCGAGCAAGCCAAUGGAGGUGCGGGCCUGCGCCUGCCACACUGCGCCACCAUGAAGAAUGUCCUCAACCACAUGACCCACUGCCAGGCCGGCAAGUCCUGCCAGGUGGCUCACUGUGCUAUCCGACAGAUCAUCUCACCACUGGAAGAACUGUACGCGGCCGACUGUCCUGUCUGCCUGCCGCUAAAGAACGCCAGUGACAAGAAGAACCAGCAACGUGAGUGUACCCACCACACACUGAUCUAGGAUCAGUUUACUGACUCCCCAUAUAUUAACCAUUAGGUGAAACCCAAAAACGAACUUCGAUCGUGAUAGAGACCACCUCAUC